rfam:Polynucleobacter asymbioticus strain Tro8F10W22, complete genome
CAAGGGCUUGCGGACCAAAACUGGUAUCAUUGCAAGGUUCGAAACUUAAUAAAUACCCUAGCGCUUAAAGACACUCACCUCCCGCAUAAACAAGCCUCGGGUUAGUAUUUUUGGGGGUUUUGAGCGUCGGAUGGAGCAGGGACUGGAGAUGGUUUGUCACCC